rnacentral:rRNA from 1 species
GUGGUUGAAAAAGUUGGUGGUGAAAUCCCAGAGCUUAACUCUGGAACUGCCAUCAAAACUUUUCAGCUAGAGUUUGAUAGAGGAAAGCAGAAUUUCUAGUGUAGAGGUGAAAUUCGUAGAUAUUAGAAAGAAUACCAAUUGCGAAGGCAGCUUUCUGGAUCAUUACUGACACUGAGGAACGAAAGCAUGGGUAGCGAAGAGGAUUAGAUACCCUCGUAGUCCAUGCCGUAAACGAUGUGUGUUAGACGUUGGAAAUUUAUUUUCAGUGUCGCAGCGAAAGCAAUAAACACACCGCCUGGGGAGUACGACCGCAAGGUUAAAACUCAAAUGAAUUGACGGGGACCCGCACAAGUAGUGGAGCAUGUGGUUUAAUUCGAAGAUACGCGCAGAACCUUACCAACACUUGACAUGUUCGUCGCGACUUUAAGAGAUUAAAGUUUUCGGUUCGGCCGGACGAAACACAGGUGCUGCAUGGCUGUCGUCAGCUCGUGUCGUGAGAUGUUGGGUUAAGUCCCGCAACGAGCGCAACCCUCACUUUUAGUUGCCAUCAUUUAGUUGGGCACUCUGAAAGAACUGCCAGUGAUAAGCUGGAGGAAGGUGGGGAUGACGUCAAGUCCUCAUGGCCCUUACGUGUUGGGCUACACACGUGCUACAAUGGUAUUUACAACAGGAAGCGAGACGGCGACGUUAAGCAAAUCCUUAAAAAAUACCUCAGUUCGGAUUGCACUCUGCAACUCGAGUGCAUGAAGCUGGAAUUACUAGUAAUCGUGGAUCAGCGUGCCACGGUGAAUGCGUUCCCGGGUCUUGUACACACCGCCCGUCACACCAUGGGAGUUGGUUCUACCUUAAGGCAAGGUUUAAUACCCUUGACCACGGUAUAGUCAGCGACUGGGGUGAAGUCAUAACAAGGUAGCCGUA